rnacentral:rRNA from 1 species
AUUGAACGCUGGCGGCAGGCCUAACACAUGCAAGUCGAGCGAGCGGCGGACGGGUGAGUAAAGUAUGGGGACUGCCCGAUAGAGGGGGGUACCUACUGGAAACGGUAGCUAAUACCGCAUACUAUCGGAUAAUCCAUAUGGGAUUAGCUAGUAGGUGAGGUAAUGGCUCACCAAGGCGACGAUCCCUAGCUGGUCUGAGAGGAUGAUCAGCCACACUGGGACUGAGACACGGCCCAGACUCCUACGGAGGCAGCAGUGGGGAAUUUUGGACAAUGGGCGAAACCCUGAUCCAGCCAUCCCGCGUGUAUGAUGAAGGCCUUCGGGUUGUAAAGUACUUUUGGCAGAGAAGCGGUAUCUGCAGAAGAAGCACCGGCUAACUACGUGCCAGCAGCCGCGGUAAUAC